AUUAAUUUCAAUUUUUUAGUGUAUAUAUAUACAUAUAUAUAUACACACACACACUAAUAUACAUAUACAUAUGUGUGUGUGUGUGUGUGUAUACACAUGUAAA
rnacentral:miRNA from 1 species